rnacentral:rRNA from 1 species
AGUGAACGCUGGCGGUAGGCCUAACACAUGCAAGUCGAACGGCAGCACAGUAAGAGCUUGCUCUUACGGGUGGCGAGUGGCGGACGGGUGAGGAAUACAUCGGAAUCUACUUUUUCGUGGGGGAUAACGUAGGGAAACUUACGCUAAUACCGCAUACGACCUACGGGUGAAAGCAGGGGAUCUUCGGACCUUGCGCGAUUGAAUGAGCCGAUGUCGGAUUAGCUAGUUGGCGGGGUAAAGGCCCACCAAGGCGACGAUCCGUAGCUGGUCUGAGAGGAUGAUUAGCCACACUGGAACUGAGACACGGUCCAGACUCCUACGGGAGGCAGCAGCGGGGAAUAUUGGACAAUGGGCGCAAGCCUGAUCCAGCCAUACCGCGUGGGUGAAGAAGGCCUUCGGGUUGUAAAGCCCUUUUGUUGGGAAAGAAAAGCAGCAGGUUAAUACCCCGCUGUUCUGACGGUACCCAAAGAAUAAGCACCGGCUAACUUCGUG